rnacentral:rRNA from 1 species
UACAGAGGGUGCGAGCGUUAAUCGGAAUUACUGGGCGUAAAGCGCGCGUAGGCGGCCUGUUAAGUCGAACGUGAAAUCCCCGGGCUCAACCCGGGAACUGCGUCCGAAACUGGCAGGCUUGAAUUCGGGAGAGGGAUGCGGAAUUCCAGGUGUAGCGGUGAAAUGCGUAGAUAUCUGGAGGAACAUCGGUGGCGAAGGCGGCAUCCUGGACCGAUAUUGACGCUGAGGCGCGAAAGCCAGGGGAGCAAACGGG